AUACUUAUUAUCUAUUCUAUAUCUGUUUUCUCCUAAGCGUAAAUGAGUUUAGACAUGCAAAGGGUAGAUGCAGUACGGGUGGUACUUGAAGGUAGGGAUCAGAUAUCACAGUAUAAUAAAAGAGUUAGCUAGGAUGGGUCUUAGGAGUCGAAAAGUUUCUAAUAUGAUCUUAUUAGUAUGACAAGAUCCAAUAGGCAAUCAAUCUGGAAAGGUCCUAGAAGGAAUGCAAAUGACAAAUAAUGUCAAACUAGUAAAGACAAUGGUGAGGACAAGGGACAAACUAAAUUUAAAUGAAGAGAAUAGGAGUAAAAUGUUGGUUCAUUUUUUCUAGUGAUCAAUGAGAACUCGGAACAUAAAAAGUAUACGGUUAUUAUAGCUUUUUUUUUGAUAUAUAAGUAUUUUAAAAGGUACUUGAACAAUUUGCCAAACCACUUAUGUGAUCCUGUUGUGCAGCCUCUUGACCUAUCAGCAGCAAGCAAUUUGCAUGCCAAACCCCACCCUU
rnacentral:lncRNA from 1 species